GAUACGGGACUCAUCCGAGGCCCCGUAAUCGGAAUGAGAACAAUAUAAAUUCUUUAACGAGUAUCUAUUGGAGGGCAAGUCUGGUGCCAGCAGCCGCGGUAAUUCCAGCUCCAAUAGCGUAUAUUAAAUUUGUUGCGGUUAAAAAGCUCGUAAUUGGUUCUGUGUGCCACGCUGUUGGUUUACCGCCUGUCGGUGUAACUGACAUGUCGUGGGACGUCCUGUCGGUGUUAACUGCAACCCAUGUUUUGUUCCAAGACUUAGGUCAAAGACAAAAUUUGGGACCAAUUGUGGUUACCGAUUUAUUGCCAUCUCGGUGCUCUUUAUUGAGUGUCGAGGUGGGCCGACAUAUUUACUUUGAACAAAUUAAAGUGCUUAAAGCAGGCUGAAUUUUGCCUGAAUAAUAAUGCAUGGAAUAAUAUAAUAGGACCUUGGUUCUAUUUUGUUGGUUUUAAGAAUGCAAGGUAAUGAUCAAUAUGGACGGUCGGGGGCAUUCGUAUUGCGGCGUUAGAGGUGAAAUUCUUGGAUCGUCGCAAGACGAACUAGAGCGAAAGCAUUUGCCAAGUACGUCUUAAUUGAUCAAGAACGAAAGUUAGAGGUUCGAAGGCGAUCAGAUACCGCCCUAGUUCUAACCAUAAACGAUGUCAACUAGCAAUCCGCCGGGUUCCUUAGAUGACCCGCGCGGGCGACCCCCGGGAAACCAAAGUUUUUGGUUUCCGGGGGAAGUAUGGUUGCAAAGCUGAAACUUAAAGGAAUGA
rnacentral:rRNA from 1 species